rnacentral:miRNA from 1 species
AGUAAGGCUUUAGUAACAAGAGAU